GGCCUGUUGCACAAAAGUAGAAUUAAGACAUCCGGGAUAAAUGACUCAGCUGAGCUCAAUGAAGCCAAAACAUGUGCGUCCAGGCUUAAUUGGUUGCACAAAGACCAAGCCAGGAUGAGCAGACACGGAUUCAUUAAGCCAGGUGAAACCAAUCCUGGAUAGGUGCGCGCUCACGGCUCACUCAAAUAGACCCCGCCACAGAUCACAGAUUAACUGAUUUACCAUGGCAACUAGAGCCGCGUACUUUUCCCCGUCGGAAGCACAAAUCCUCAUGGAGGCAUACGAGGAGGUAAAAGAUAUAAUUAAGAAGAAAGGCAACACCGCCACAGUGAUAAAGCAAAGAGAAAAAGCGUGGCAAAGUAUUGCAGACCGCCUGAAUGCAUUAAACAUGAACGGGCCAAAACGGACAUGGCAGCAGGUCAAAAUCAAAUACAAGAACAUUCUGCAGAAUGCAGUGAAAAAGAAUACCCACAGACAAGGCACGGGUGGUGGGUCACCAAAGGCUGACCUUACCCCAGCAGAGGACAUGGCCUUGGAGCUAAAUAAAGGCAGGCCCGUCUUAGAGGGGAUCCCUGGGGGAAAGAGACGAGCAUAGGUUCCUCCCAAGAUGCCACCCGCUUCAUUCAAGUGCCUGGCAGCACUGUGUUCCUGUUAGAGCCACCAGCACAAGCACCAGACGAUGCUGAUCCAGUUGAAGGCCCCAGUGCAGCAGCAACAGCACAUGAUGGAGACGAUGAUGAGGAGGAGACCAUCUCUCUGGAUUCCAGAAGGCAUGAGGACCCAGAUGCUAUACAGUGGGAAAACCAGCCUGGCAACAUAGUGCAUAUUAAUAAAAGGACACCACAUCCUGCCAAAUUCCAGCUGCGCUAAUUGUAUUGUGUUCACAGAGCUCACAAGCUAUCAGAAAGUUGUAUGGCAACCACCUCCGGCGCCAAAUAGAACUGGCAGACAUAGACAUUCAGUACAAGAAGAAAAAGAUGGAAAAUCUUGCACUGGAGUCUGAAAUAAAAAAGAGGACAAUUAGGAAACUGGACCUUGAAAUAAAAAAACUUGAGAGGGAGCUCCAAGAAGAUGACACAGCUCAAAAUAAAAAUUAGGUAUAUUCUCGUAAAGUCAAGUGAGCCAUGACAUAUGAGCUCUUAUUGUGAGCACACAGGACGGUGGCAUCUUUCUAAGGUUUUUUUAAAUUUUCCCAGCAAUCAGUACAACCAAGUCAUCGUUAUAAGGCAUCGCCCUCUUUUGCCCACCCCCCAGCACCAGGUGUGGCCACUAGCCUAUAUGAAGGCCCAAAAUUGUGUGUUCCUUUCUGCUCUGACAAUGGCAUGCCCAUUCGUGCGAGAUGUGGUGGAUGAAGAAGCACUUGUGCUGAGGAGAGCCUUCAGGCGAGAAAGGGUCUUCAGGGACCGGUUGGACCCACUGGCCUUCCCUGAUGACCAUCUAUAUGAAAGAUACAGGUUUUCUGCAGAUGGCAUCAGGU